rnacentral:rRNA from 2 species
CGCUGAACUUAAGCAUAUCACUAAGCGGAGGAAAAGAAACUA